AUUGACAAUGAAAAUAUCCUAUUUAAAAGCUCCCACCUUAAGGUACCCUAGGUACUACCUUAGCUAAACAUGAACUCAACCUCUCCCAAGCCUUGGGUCUUCCUUUGUGACCCUUAGAGCAUCCCAUUAUGUGGUUCUCUUGAGUGCUCAGGUGGUCCACCAAUGGUUUUUUGGGACUGUACCUUAGGUACACCUUAAUGACCUUUAAGUAUUACCUUAAGAGACCCUAGGUACUACCUUAACUAAACUUGAACUCAACCUCUCCCAAGCCUCGGGCUUUCCUUUGUGAGCCUUAGAGCAUCUCAUUAUGUGGUUCUCUUGAGUGCUCAAGUGGUCCACCAAAGGUUUUUUGCAAUUGUACCUUAGGUACUACCUUAAGAGCCCUUAGGUACUACCUUAAUGGCCUUUAGGUACUACCUUAAGGGACCCUAGGUACUACCUUAGCUAAACAUGAACUCAACCUCUCCCAAGCCUCGGGUCUUCCUUUGUGACCCUUAGAGCAUCCCAUUAUGCGGUUCUCUUGAGUGCUCAAGAGGUUCAUCAAAGGUUUUUUGGGACUGUACCUUAAGUACUAC
rnacentral:lncRNA from 1 species